AGUGAACGCUGGCGGUAGGCCUAACACAUGCAAGUCGAACGGCAGCACAGAGGAGCUUGCUCCUUGGGUGGCGAGUGGCGGACGGGUGAGGAAUACAUCGGAAUCUACUCUGUCGUGGGGGAUAACGUAGGGAAACUUACGCUAAUAACGCAUACGACCUACGGGUGAAAGCAGGGGACCUGCGGGCCUUGCGCGAUUGACUGAGCCGAUGUCGGAUUAGCGAGUUGGCGGGGUAAAGGCCCACCAAGGAGACGAUCCGUAGCUGGUCUGAGAGGAUGAUCAGCCACACUGGAACUGAGACACGGUCCAGACUCCUACGGGAGGCAGCAGUGGGGAAUAUUGGACAAUGGGCGCAAGCCUGAUCCAGCCAUACCGCGUGGGUGAAGAAGGCCUUCGGGUUGUAAAGCCCUUUUGUUGGGAAAGAAAUCCAGCUGGCUAAUACCCGGUUGGGAUGACGGUACCCAAAGAAUAAGCACCGGCUAACUUCGUGCCAGCCGCCGCGGUAA
rnacentral:rRNA from 1 species